GACGAACGCUGGCGGCGUGCUUAACACAUGCAAGUCGAGCGGUAAGGCCCUUUCGGGGGUACACGAGCGGCGAACGGGUGAGUAACACGUGGGUGACCUGCCCUCAGCGUCUGGGAUAAGCCUGGGAAACUGGGUCUAAUACUGGAUAUGACUCCACGGUGCAUGUCGUGGGGUGGAAAGCCUUGUGCGGCUGAGGAUGGGCCCGCGGCCUAUCAGCUUGUUGGNGGGGUGAUGGCCUACCAAGGCGACGACGGGUAGCCGGCCUGAGAGGGCGACCGGCCACACUGGGACUGAGACACGGCCCAGACUCCUACGGGAGGCAGCAGUGGGGAAUCUUGCGCAAGUGGGCGAAAGCCUGACGCAGCGACGCCGCGUGA
rnacentral:rRNA from 1 species